GCUAGUGUAGCUCAGUCGGUAGAGCAGCUGAUUCGUAAUCAGCAGGUCAGGUGUUCAAGUCACCCCACUAGCUCCA
rnacentral:tRNA from 1 species